UACAGAGGGUGCAAGCGUUAAUCGGAAUUACUGGGCGUAAAGCGCGCGUAGGUGGUUCGUUAAGUUGGAUGUGAAAUCCCCGGGCUCAACCUGGGAACUGCAUUCAAAACUGACGAGCUAGAGUAUGGUAGAGGGUGGUGGAAUUUCCUGUGUAGCGGUGAAAUCGUAGAUAUGAGGAAGACACCAGUGGCGAAGGCGACCACCUGGACUGAUACUGACACUGAGGUGCGAAAGCGGGGGAGAAACAGGAUUAGAUACCCGUAGUC
rnacentral:rRNA from 1 species